rnacentral:rRNA from 1 species
CGGGUAGGACUACCCGCUG